CCUACGGGGGGCAGCAGUGAGGAAUAUUGGUCAAUGGACGAGAGUCUGAACCAGCCAAGUAGCGUGAAGGAUGACUGCCCUAUGGGUUGUAAACUUCUUUUAUAUGGGAAUAAAAUGUUCCACGUGUGGGAUUUUGUAUGUACCAUAUGAAUAAGGAUCGGCUAACUCCGUGCCAGCAGCCGCGGUAAUACGGAGGAUCCGAGCGGUAUCCGGAUUUAUUGGGUUUAAAGGGAGCGUAGGUGGAUUGUUAAGUCAGUUGUGAAAGUUUGCGGCUCAACCGUAAAAUUGCAGUUGAAACUGACAGUCUUGAGUACAGUAGAGGUGGGCGGAAUUCGUGGUGUAGCGGUGAAAUGCUUAGAUAUCACGAAGAACUCCGAUUGCGAAGGCAGUUCACUGGACUGCAACUGACACUGAGGCUCGAAAGUGUGGGUAUCAAACAGGAUUAGAUACCCGUGUAGUC
rnacentral:rRNA from 1 species